GUCUCUUUGAAGAGGAAAAGAACAUAAAGGGGAACCCAUUUAAGAGUGUGAGGAAAAAACUAAAGAGCAAGAACGAAAAGGGGUUAGGAAAAACAUGAAAAUUGUGAAGCAAGGUCACUAUAUAAGCAUAUGUUACUGAUGACCCGAAUUUUAUGAGAAAAUGGCAAGAUAUACAUGAAAUGUAUUCUUUGGAAAUGUUAUAUCUGAUUCUACAAAGGAAUAUAGAAGAAUAUGAGAACAUUUCUAAAGAAUUAAGUCAAGGAAAAAGCGAGUUAUGUUUGAGACUGCCAGAGGAACAAUUUGAAGAAUUAAAAAAAA